UGGACCAGAAGUACUUCUGCUCCACUUACAAGUCCACCGGGGAGUGUGCUGGGGGCCUCCCCUCACCCUCCCCAGCUCAGCAACUGGUGCCUCCUGGAUCAGGAGGGCACCCAGGGUCCCCCUGCAGCCGAUUGUCAAGGGGGGGGGUGCAGGGGCCUCCCAUGCAUGCUCCCUGGCAGACCCGGAAGUGUACUGGAAGUACUUCCCACUUCCAGGUUCACUGCCGAGCAUGUGGAGGGCCCCCCUGCACUCCUGUGGGACGUUCCAUCCACCCCAGCAUCACAGCAAUCAUGAGUUUGGCUGGUACCUUGAGGAGACAGGAAAAGCAGUGGAAGAUCCACACUUUCUAGAGGAGAACAAUUUCACACCUCAUCACUGUAAACCUGACGGUUGGCACAACAGGCACUGGAGUGAUGGAUGGAUGAUCUGCUGUGCACUAAUUAUUUUUAUUGUAGGUUUUCCACCAAACAUUUUGGGAGACUAGAGAGUGGUUGCCUUCAAUUGCGCCACUGCUUUAACUGAGCCUGAGACAAGCAGGAAUACACUCCCAGCUCAAAAUGUUAUCAUUUACAUUAGUUUUGACUGGAAAAGCUUUAAACUCUGUUAUCCUCAUAUUAUGAAUUCCUGUGGAAAUGAAUAUUGUGAGAGAGAGAAAAUAAAUACAUUUUCCUACCUGA